AAAAUAUAAAAGUGUAUUUUGUACUAUAGAUGGCUGCAUAUACACGACACACCCCAGUGGCGGAUCCAGAACUUGGUUCUGAGACAUAUAAGUAAAAUUUGUUAAGGAGAAAUCAAAAAUGUUUGAAUAAAAUACAUAUUACGUACAUAGUCGAGUGGGGGGAUCUUCCCCCCAUUCAUUCAGAUAACUAAAAAGCACAUAUUUGCAAUAUAUGGGUAUAUUCUUAUUCAUUUUUUUCUACAGACUAAAAAUAAGAUUUUACAAAGAUGUGGUUAAACCUAACAAAUCUUUCUAGGCCAAUCAUAGGAAUGCUUAGAAUUAAAUCUCGCAAAAAAUUUUGUUUAAGUUAAUACUAUCAGACUUCAAUUCUUGCUUUAAAUAAAGUACCAAGGAAUCAGCUCAAAAUGUCGAAAAUUAUUCCAAAAUUGGCCAAUCCCAAUUUGGAUACGAUGCCAUCGGACUUUUUGUACCACUUGGAUAUUAAUGUGGCAAAUACCCAGGAUACUAGUGAUAUUCAGCAGAGAUUUGGCGACGUGAGGGUGGUCUGCACGGGUGGAACUGCAUCUCGAAUGCGGGAGCUGGCUUUAUACAUGCGAAAGGUAUUGGGAGUGUCAGACCCGAGUGAUCCGGUGGAUUUGUGCGAGCGUGGGAGACGCUAUGCCAUGUACAAGGUGGGUCCGGUACUAUGCGUAAGUCACGGGGUUGGAUCCUCCACCUUUAGCGUUGUGCUUCACGAGCUGCUCAAGCUGGUCAAGUACGCCUGCUGCCAGGAUCCCAUCUUUCUGCGCAUCGGCACCUGCGGAGGACUGGGAGUGCCACCUGGCACAGUGGUGGUCACCAAGGAUGCAUUUAAUGGUCUGCUGCGCAACGAACAUGAGAUCGUUGGCUAUUCUUGGAAAACGUGUGGUACGACCAGCUCAGUUUUCUGAAGACGUGAUCAAAAAGAUAAUGGAAUAUGGUGCCGAUCCUCAUGACGGUUUUCAGACCAUAAGUGCCAACACAAUGGGGACAGAUUGCUUUUACGAGGGUCAGGGCCGCACCGACGGAGCUAUAUGCGAGUACACUGAGAAGGACAAGAUGGACUUCCUGCAGAAGUGCCAUGAUCUGGGAAUUCGAAACAUCGAGAUGGAGGCUAGCAUGUUUGCCUCAGUAACCAAAAAAGUGGGAG